GUCUACAGCCAUACCACCCUGAACCCGCCCGAUCUCCUGUGAUCCCGGAAGUCAAGCAGGGUCGGGCCUGGUUAGUACUUGGAUGGGAGACCUCCUGGGAAUACCAGGUGGUGUAGGCU